CGUAGGUGACCAGCGUUGUCCGGAUUUACUGGGCGUAAAGAGCGCGCAGGCGGUCGUUCAAGUCGAGUGUGAAAGCCCCCGGCUCAACUGGGGAGGGUCACUCGAUACUGAUCGACUUGAAGGCAGGAGAGGGAAGCGGAAUUCCCGGUGUAGUGGUGAAAUGCGUAGAUAUCGGGAGGAACACCAGUGGCGAAGGCGGCUUCCUGGCCUGUUCUUGACGCUGAGGCGCGAAAGCUAGGGGAGCAAACGGGAUUAGAUACCCCGGUAGUCCUAGCCGUAGACGAUGGACACUAGGUGUUGGUGGUAUCAACCCCACCAGUGCCGAAGCUAACGCAUUAAGUGUCCCGCCUGGGGAGUACGGCCGCAAGGCUA
rnacentral:rRNA from 1 species